rnacentral:rRNA from 1 species
GAUGAACGCUGGCGGCGUGCCUAAUACAUGCAAGUAGAACGCACAGUUUAUACCGUAGCUUGCUACACCAUAAACUGUGAGUUGCGAACGGGUGAGUAACGCGUAGGUAACCUGCCUGGUAGCGGGGGAUAACUAUUGGAAACGAUAGCUAAUACCGCAUAAUAUUGAUUAUUGCAUGAUAAUUGAUUGAAAGAUGCUAUUGCAUCACUACCAGAUGGACCUGCGUUGUAUUAGCUAGUAGGUGAGGUAACGGCUCACCUAGGCGACGAUACAUAGCCGACCUGAGAGGGUGAUCGGCCACACUGGGACUGAGACACGGCCCAGACUCCUACGGGAGGCAGCAGUAGGGAAUCUUCGGCAAUAGACGAAAGUCUGACCGAGCAACGCCGCGUGAGUGAAGAAGGUUUUCGGAUCGUAAAGCUCUGUUGUAAGAGAAGAACGGGUGUGAGAGUGGAAAGUUCACACUGUGACGGUAUCUUACCAGAAAGGGACGGCUAACUACGUG